UACAGAGGGUGCGAGCGUUGUUCGGAAUUAUUGGGCGUAAAGGGCGCGUAGGCGGUGCGGUAAGUCACCUGUGAAAUCUCCUGGCUCAACUGGGAGCUUGCAGGCGAAACUGCCGUGCUGGAGUGUGGGAGAGGUGAGUGGAAUUCCCGGUGUAGCGGUGAAAUGCGUAGAUAUCGAGAGGAACACCUGAGGUGAAGACGGGUUGCUGGGCUGACACUGACGCUGAUGCGCGAAAGCCAGGGUAGCAAACGGG
rnacentral:rRNA from 1 species